AUGGGUACGUCGUGCACGGCGGGCAUGUCUUCUACAACCUCGUCGGUGGCCGCCAAUGUUGAUGGCGUCGGGAUAGUUCAGUUUCAAUCGGAGUUCUACAUCCCCGAUCUGACAUUCUGUGGCCUUGAUUCGGUCGUCGCGGCGGUGCCCUGGCCAGGGGCUUAUUCCUGCUCUCGUGUCGCCUGGGGAGGAGCAAGCUCCGGCAGAAGGUUUCUCGGCUGCCCUCUUGAUCUUCCUGAUGAAUGUGAUUGGGUUGUCUGGAUUGACCCGCCAUCGACCGAAUGUGUUGGUCGUGCAUUUGAGGAGCUUCAUGCAGGAUUGGAGAAGAGCUGGCUAAAAGCUCAUUAUUUAGAGAGGAGGGUGAUGUAUCUAACCGAGAAGAACAAGAAACUGAAGCUAAAGAUGAAGAAGAGGAACGAGGUUAUGCAAGCCUGGGGAUUUAUCAUAGUUCUUGGUUUUAGCAUGUUGGCCACAUUUGUUUCUAGGUGGUCUAAUAAUCCAUACUAA
rnacentral:rRNA from 1 species